CCUGAGGCCCCUACCCAUGGUUCACUUGUACAGCACGUUAGCCCAUGUGGAUUUCGUCAUCUUUCCCUUCAGGGCAGGACAAGCAAAGAGAAGAUUUCGAUAUGUCUUUGGAAGCACCAAAGAAAAAUUUGACCUUCACUAAUGCCGCAAUCAGCAGCUUGACU
rnacentral:lncRNA from 1 species